CAAGAUCUCUUUAAAUCCUUUCUUUGCAUGAUUUUCUUAGUUAUCUUAUUUUUAUUUUAUUAUUUAAUUAAAUUAUUUUUAAUGAAAGUCAAAUUUAUACUAUAAUUAUAUUUAUCUAAUAUUAGUGGACCAUUAAUGAAUCAUUAGUGUUUAACUAAAAUCAAUUUUUCAUGUUCAAAUCUAAUUCCAGUAGUUGGUUUUUUCUAAAUUUGGCCAUAUUUAUGGUAGCUAAAAAAAGCUAAAAAUUAAUUUGAAACUAACAUAUAAUAUAAAAUCAAUCAAUCAAUCAAUUAAUUAAUAAAAAAAUUAAAAUUAUAGUAACAUAAAAUAAUAUGAUAAUUAAGUUUAAAUAUAUUUAUAUGUAUUUAUUAAGUAAUAUUUUCUUAAAUUUGGUUUGACAUGCAAUUAUUUAGUAAAGAUUUUGUAACAACAUGUUGCAAUUGAAUUUUUUUUUAAAAAAACAUUUGAAUCACUUCUAUAUAUUAAAUUAAUAAGCAUUCUUUUGAAAUAUUGAGAAAUACUUUUAAACCCUUUAGAAUCUAUUUGGAAUUUUUAAAUGUUUAUUAUAAAAUCAUACUUCUUCUUAUGCCAUGCUGAGCUACUGUUCAAUCUUGCUAUCUUGUACUACCAAGCUUGAUUUUCGUAUUCUUCUUUACUUUCAUGAGAACUUUUUUUCUUCUUCUUCUUUUUAAUAUUUAAUAUAAUAUUUUUUAAUAUUUUCUAUAUUUAAUCUAUACUUAAUCUUUAUAUUAUUUACAUCUUUUUAUAUAUAAAAUCUUAAAAUAAAAUUAUAAAUUAUGAUAUUUUUUUAAUUGAAUAUUUUUCUUAGAUUCUUUUUAUAACUUAAAUUAGUUAGAAUAUAAAAAUCUAAAUAAGUUAAGAUCAAGUCUUUCUUUGAAAUUCUCUACAUUUUAUACUUUUUCAAUACCAUUUGCCACUCACAACUUAUUCUUUGGUAUUUCUUUAAUUUUAACCCAAUUUAUUUUUUCUAUUUUUUUUAUUCUAAUUUGCUUCAUUUUUCUUCUAUUCCACUACUAUUUUUUUCUAAAAUUUAACUUACUUUAAUGUAGAUUUGGCACUUACUUAUUAUCUUUAUUCUUAUUUUUAUUUAUAUAUUUUGGCUCAAUUUUUAAAUUUAAUUUGUCUUUUAACUUAUCUUAUUAUUCUACUGCACUUUUUCUUUUUUAUAACCUUAAUUUUUAUUUUUUUAGCUUAUUUCUACUUAUAUAGCGUAAUCUUAUUAUUAUUAUUAUUAUUAUUAUUAUUAAUCUUUUUUGGCUUCAUGUUGUCGAAUCUUUUUAAUAGCCUUGUUUUUUUGCCUUUUAAUUGAAUCUAAAUAGUCCUUUAUCUUUGCAACCUCCAAUUUAUAGAUUUAGCUUCAUAAUAUUUUUUAAACUAAUUUAUUUUUAUUUUUAUUUUUUAUCAAGAAAAAAUGUAAGUAACUUUCAAAAUUCUUAAACAAAAGAUUACCUUCUUUAUAAUACUUAUAACAUUGCAAGUAGAUUCUCUAAUUAUCUUCUAUUUGAAUGUUUAUCUACUUAAUUUUGUUUCUUAUUAGUUUUGUCUUAAUGCUACUCAGUAAAGUUUUUCAUCUUUUUUCCUUGGUUGCUAUUAAUUGCACACCAUUCUUUUUGUUCAAUUGUUACUUUCUAUAUAACUACAUAUUAGUUGUCUUUUAUACUCCCACUUGACUUAUAUUUAUAUAGUCACAUUCUAUAUUAUUAAAUCAAUAAUUUUUUUAAAAUUUAAAAAUAAUAAAAUAAUAAAAAAUCAUAGUUAAAAUAAUUAGAAAUAAUUAAAAAGCUAAAUUUAGUUUUUGAUAUCUUCUUUGUUUUUUAUCUUUAUUUAUUUUUAUUUUUAAAAUUAAAAUUAAUAAUUUAAAUAAUAAGCUAUAAAAUUUAAUUUUUUACACAAAUUAGGCAUGGUACAUAACUUCUAAAUAUAAUAUUUUUGAAUAGCUCUUUUUUAAAAUAAAUAAUUAAAAUAAAUAAUAUAAUAAAAAAAUUAAAAUUUAUAUCACCUUGAAACAAUAAUUAAUCCAUAAUAUCAUAUUAGAUGGUUAGCAAAAAUAAAUUUAAUCAUGAGCACUAUAAAAUACUAUAAAAUAAUAGAAAAUAUAUUUCAAAUUUAAUUUUUAGAAAACCAUUGAUUUCUUUGGACUAAAAAAUUCUAUACAAAACAAUAAUGUUAGAAUGAUGCAAAAAAUUAUUUUCAAUCUAAAAUUCUACAUUAAUAAGUCUUUGCUAAGUACUACUUAGUAUAGAUAGUUAAAAUGAUUUUUACUCAAUACGUUUAUAAACCAAGAAAACAAUUUUUUAAAGCAUCUACAACAAAGUCAAACAAUUUGUCAAAUUGAUUACCAAUCCAAAUAAUUCUUAUGCGUCAAAUCCAACAUGACUAAUAAAUUUCCAAAUUAUUUCAACUACUUAUAAUACUUAUGCACUCUUAGACCUACAAUUAGUUUCAAGUCAAAUUGAUAAAACACACAAAUGAAACUCACAAAUCAAUUCAAACUAUGUCGUUGGCAAACUUUAUCACCACUUAAGGACUUGAAAAGUCAUCGUUGGCAAACUUUAUCACCACUUAAGGACGUGAAAAGUCAUCGUGUCUCCAAAUAGAAGAAUAGAGGAUUUCACCAGAAAUUUGUGCUGUGUUCGUAUCUUCUGCUGAUUAAGCACCACUGCAAAUGUGUGCCUUAACUUGCUUCAAGGCACCUCCUGUUUUAUUUUACUCCGACCGGAUUAGUGCAGAGUCCGAUUAAUAUCAUUAUAAAAGAGAAGAUCGAGUGGAACAGCAACAUAUUCCAACAGUGCAACUCGAUGCAUCUAAACGCUGGAUGAUAAACUUUAUAAAGAUAUUUCAGAGGCUUAUCUUAUAAGCUUUCCUUGGAAACCACAGAGCUGUUCAUGCUUUUCUGCACACACCGGAAAACAAGCUAGUCAUUGAAGCAGAUGGGUACUCGCCAAAGGGCCGCUUUUAUC
rnacentral:lncRNA from 1 species